AAGGAGACAUUUAUGCUGUUCUCGUCUUUAUUUAGUAGUAGGCAUGUUGUCUGUUUCGGUCAAUGUAUCUGUCAGCUGCUGAUUUAUCUGCAGUAUAUGGGGAAUUUAAGUUUGAAAAUUACAUGACAUUGUGAACAAUUACUCUUGGCUCUUAGGUGACAUCUGGGGUAAAAUGGUGCCAGGAGACUUUGUUAACCUGUUAUUUGUGCAAUGGCAAAAGAAAUUUUCGUCUUGUCUUUCAUGUUUUUUGUGUGAUUCAUUUUUGGCUGUAGCCUGAUACAUAUACUACUAUUUAUUUGUCUUAGCUUGUGUCUUUUUUUUUUUUGGGUUCAUAGUUUUUUCGCUCUUCUUGCCGCUUGUCCGAUAUCUUAUGGUAUAACCGCUGCAGCCUGCAGGUAGCCAAUUUCUUAUGGCACGCUUAGUUUAUCUUCAGUCUAUAUAUCUGGCUUGGGAGCCUCUAAUUUACCUUUGACGGGUCUUUUUUUAGCCCCCCUUGAUAGUAUAUCCUCUCUUGCAAAGGAAAAAAUCGUCCCCGACUUUUGUCGUUUUAUGCCAGUCUUAUAUUGACUUUGCUAUUGCUAUUAAGAUUUUAUGCCAAAUCGCCAAUCUAUAAGAUUGCAAUAAUAAUCGUCAAAUCGCCAAUCUUAUAAUAAUAAUUAAAAUUUAUAAGAUUCGGCGAUCCUAAUUAUUAUUUUUUUCCCUAAACACCCCUUCCCUGUACUUUUAGUCUUCCUAUGUCGACCAUAUAUCAAAUUAUCCUCAUUAUUUUAAACCUUAUAUGUCCCCAAAAAAAAAAAAAAGAAGAUAAUAAAUCAAAAUCUAUAAAAAGAAUGGCUAAUCUAAUAAUUGUUUUGCAUUCAAACGCCUUCUUGGGCACAUUUUUAAUCUUCAUAUACCAACUUUUAAUUAAAUUUCUUUUGUUAUUCUAACAAUUAUGUAAGGAAAAGAACACAUCUAGAAGAUGCCAAAAAUAGAAAAUAAUACCAUUCUACCAAUUAUUGUUGUACUUAACACUGCAUUUCAACAAUUUUUUUAGUUCUCUUAUGCAAAUACAUGUGAGAAAUCGAUUUGGUAAAAUUUUCAAGAUAUGACAAUACAAAAGGGUAAAGUUGGAAAAAAGCUACAUCUCUCUCUCUCUCUCUCUCUUUAAAUGAUUAUUUUAAGAAUAUUUUUAUGAUGUAGAGGUGAGUUUGUUACAAAAAAUAUGGAUCUAAAAGAGGUCAAGGAUUAUUUUUCAAAAUUCAAAGGUGCUAAGUGCUAUUAGGCAAAGCCUUAGGAGAGGUUUCCAAAAUUAUCCCCUUUCAUUAUGCUUGUGGCCGCCUCGGUGUGCCCAGCCUCUAUUAGUUCCGUUCACUCUCUUUCAACAACAGGCAUCUCGUCUUGAACAUUUCCAGACAAGGUGAUUGACGAGAUUACACUGAAGGGGCGUUUCACCUCGUCUACCUCUUUGCCUGAGACUACUGAUUCCUCGGCUAUUUAGGUGAUUUAUGAUUGACGAAGUAAUUUGAACGUCAGCCACCAUACUGCUCAAACCUACACUUAACAUUGUCGCCCUAGGUAUAAAUCUGAGAACUCUGUUGAUUAAAGAGGAUAAUUUAUAUAAGGAGAAGUUUUAGUUUUAAAAUUUUCAAUUAGAUUUUAUGGCAAUUUUAGUAAAAGAAUCCAAAAGGUCUAAGCGAACAUUUAAUAAAAGAUUAAGUUUAUUAAACAAGUACAAAGCUUGAGGUGACAAUCAUGUGUAACACUAAUUAGUUUUGGCAGGUUUAGUAAUUGAUAUAAAGGCCAAACGUGGCAAUUAUUUUUGUGCCAAAAUAGUAUUGACAAAUUUAGCAAGUGCUUCGUGCUUACUAAGUCCCAAGGUGACAAUCAAUUUUAAGGAUGACUACUAUUGGCGAUAUUAGUAAAACAAUUACCAAGGUCUAAAGUGACAAUAAAUUUCAUGGGUAAUUAUUUUGUAUUAGCGUAUUAGUCAAACAAUUAGGAAAACCUAGGGCAAAAUAAAUUUUAAGCACAUUUGGGUGCGUUUGAUAUAAUUGAAGUGUGAAAUCUGAAAUUUGAAGUUUGAAUCUAUCAAAUUAUUGAAUUAUUAAGUAUUAAAUCUAAUACAUUUAAGUGUAUAUCGCAUUCAGUAAUAAGUAAGUAACUUAUCACUUAAUUUUGGGAGUAAAUUUUGCCUAGAAUAUUCAAUGCCAUUUAAUUAAUUCAGAUGUUCAAUUUUUUGUUAUUAAAUGGUUUGAAUAAGUUAAGAUCUGAAUCUAUUAAGUUUAAGUGCUGAAUUGAGUUAUCAAACAAGAUGACAACAUUAAUCAAACUAUUAGAAAUAUCUAAUGUGGCACUUAAUUUUGAUGCUUAUUAGUAUUAGUAAUAUCAGUCAAAUAAUUAAUAAAGGCUAAGGGGACAAUCAAUUUUCAUCAUAACAAGGAUUGAUAAUCAAUCAAAUUAAAAAAAAAAAGGGCAUAAGGUGACAACCAAUUUUAGAACUAAUUAGUAUUGGCAAUUUUAAUACAAGAAUUGAAAGGUCUAAGUUGCAAAUUAAUUGGAAUGAUAAUUAUUUAUUGAAGUUCUAUGCUUUAAAUAAAGAAUAAAAUUUAUAUACACUGACAAUGUAUAUAUUUUCACGGUUGGAUGCAUGACACAUAUACAAAAUUUGAGUUUUAAAUUCAAAAUUGGAUUAUGUAUUAUGCAUCCAAUGAUGUAAGUGUAUAAACUGUCAGUAAAUAGAAUAUUAAUUCUUAAAUAAAUAGGUUUGAUAGUAAAUUUAAUAGGAUUUGCAGUGAUUCUAUAAACUUGAAACCUUUUUAGACUUAUUUUGGUUGUUGCAAAAUUUCAUCAUUUGCUUUUGUGGCCUUAUAAUACUUAUUUAAGUAAAGGGAAAAUUGUUCAAAACGUCCCCUAUAUUUUACAAAAUGAUUUUUUUGUCCCUUAUUUUUAAAAGUAUAAUUUUACGUCCCUUACAAAUUCACAUUGAUCAAAUUUGGUCCCUACCUAGGUUUCCGACUAGUUUUUUGCCGGAAUUCACCAUGUGACUUGCAUGUGAUCAUUUUUUAAGGGUAACAUUGUCAAAUCAAAUUUUUACAUAAUCUGAUUCAUAGUCCCUCACAUUUCACAAAAUGAAUUUUGUCGUCCCUAACAUUUUACAAAAUGAAUUGUUUCAUUCCUCACAUUUCAAAAAAUGAAUGUUUCUAUCCCUCACAUUUUUCAAAAUGAAUUUUUUCAUCCCUCAUUGAUCAUGUAUACGAAUAGUUUUUUUUUCUAUAAAUCCGCAUAUAUGUCUAUUUGAUUUUAUCUGAAGAGUAUGAAUAACAUGUAAUUUAUCUCUAUUGGAUUUAAUCCAAACAUGCUAAUCGUAAUUAUACACAUGCUAUUCAAUAGAUAUAUAUAUAUAGGUGUUUAAAGCUAAUGAUUUUGUUUGAAACCCAUGUAUAUAUUUAUAAUAUUUCACCAUUUGAACCUAUUCAAUAUUUGUGACAUUUCUCUUUUAGUAAUAAUUUUUUUAUUGAGUUGUAUAAUAAGGUCAUCUAAUUAAUGGGGCCUAACUCGAAUUCUAUAAUUGUGCUAACAAAUUUCAGUUUAAAUAUGAAAUUUCUAUUCGAUACUUUUAAGACAAACAGUUGAAUUACUUGCCUUGUGAUUGUUUUAAAAUUUAAAAGUGCCAAUCACUCAUUUCUUUUUGUCAUACUUUCCUUUUGUUUACUUUUUCUAUCCAAAUUUAAUUCGAUAUAAACACUCGAUAAUAUUUAGGAUUAAAUGUCUUCUUUAUUUUCAAAUUUCGAUUAAAAGAAAAUAAAUAUAAGUGAAAAACUAGCAAUUUUUUUAAAUUCAUAUAUAUAUAUUUAUUUGAUUUCACUUGAGCAGUACGAAUAGUAUGUAAUAUGUCUCCAUUUGAUUUCACAUGCUGUUCGUACUGUUUAGGUGAAACCAAAUAGAUAUAUACAUGGAUUUAAAAAAAAUUAUUCUCACAUACAUGAUCAAUAAAGGAUGCAAAAAUUUAUUUUAUGAAAUGUAAGGGUCGAAAAAAUUUAUUUUAUGAAAUGUGAGGAAUUAUGAAUCGAAUUAUAUAAAAUCUGAUUUGAUAAUUUUGCCCUUAAAAUAUGAUCACGUGCAAGGCAUGUGGUGAAUUCCGACAAAAAACUAGUCAAAAAGCUAAGUAGGUAUCAAAUUUGACAAAUGUGAAUUUGUAAAGGACGUAAAAUUACAUUUUUAAAAGUAAGGGAUGAAAAAAGUUAUUUUGUAAAAUGUGAGGGACGUGAACGAUUUUCCCUUAAGUAAAAGCCCAACUACAAAAGAAGAUUGAAAAUUAUCACAUUUCUAAAUCCUAGAUACAACAGGAGCUCCUCCGAUUGUCGAGGCUUUGUCCCACAUCGGGGUUCAGGGGGGUUUGGGGUAGGUUUAUUAGUUCCCUGUGAGACCUCAAGAGAUACCGGCUUUUGGGGUUCUCACGGGAUUCAGGGUUAGUAAAAAUGCCGAAAAGUCCUUUGGGCUUUUAGUCAGAAAAAAAAAGAUACAACAGGAGCAGGGGCAUCAACUGUCAGUAAUAACCGUCCGAAAUGAUGUAAGGAUUUUGAACGAAUUGUAAUUAAAAUUGAAUUGGUUGUACAUUCUUACAAUAAAUACACAAUUAUUAUAUAUAAGACUCACAUAAAUAGUAGUAAAAUAUUACAUCUCUGAUGUAAAAAUGUAUAAUCUGUUUAAUAUAAAUUACAAUCCGUUCAAAAAUCUCUACACCGUUUCGAAUGUUCGAGCCCCAAUCCAUUCAAACAUAAAAAUCUCUAAAAUCAAAUAUUCCGUUCAUCUUUGAGUUUGAUUCUCUGUAGUUUAAAUCAUAUGUCGCUUAAUUUAGAAUUUUCUUUCAAUUAAGUGUGAGCUGAAUUUGUCAAAAAAAGAAAAGAAAAGAUAGUAGCCCACAGACUGUAAUCUCUGUUCCAUCAUCCAUGUGUACGUUAUAAAAGAGUGAUGGUAGACAAUCAUUUUCGUAAAAGUUUUUUCGCAAAAGUUUUGCCGAAAAUUCUUAUGGUGGCUCCUAGUCCUAAAGUGAGUGCAUGCCAGCUUUUUCUGACUCCGUUUUUAUGUUGUACUUUAACACGAACAGUAAUAAUUACUGCAUCAUCGCAGACCCGUGUUCCCCUGCCCCGGUCCUGCCCGGUCUUAUUUUCCUUUCAAGUUUCAACACUAUAACAUAUAAAUACCAUCCUCCUCCAUUUCCGGUCAGUUCUUUCUUGCUGCCCGCCCCUUUCCUUCGCUUUUCCUUAAACAGUCAAACCAGAAAAUCUUUCUUCUUUUUUUUUUUUUGGUUUCCCUCUUUUUCUUUCUUUUUCACGUUUUACCCUUGAUUUCCGAGCCAUGAGUCUCUUCGGCCUUUGCAGGUAAGCACGAAAAGACGUGCAUAAAUUUCCCUUUUUUAUGAUCAAUUUACUUUGAAAUGUUUUUGCUUCAAAAUUGAUCAUCACGUGUUUUCUUGUGUGUGUUUUUGGUGUGUGAUUCUUGAUUUUCAGAUCUAUUGAUAUGGGAUUUUUUUGAAUUUCUUGAGAUGGUUUUUGAGUAAUAUUAUUCUGGGUUUUAUGCAUUUUGAUCGAUGACAGUGCAUUUACGUUGUACUAUCAGGAAUUGGUAUCUAGAAGAUGUAAAAGUUUCUUGAUUAGGCUGUUUCAGCUGUGAAUGAUGGAGAAGAGCUGAACAAACUAAUUAAAUAAUGUAACUCUAUUUCGAUAUAAAAUGCUUUUGCAUAAAUAAUGUAUCUUAAUUUGGUGGUUUGAGCGGUGAAUGUUUAAGAAGAGCUGAAGCAGCGGUUUAAGAGAAACUGUAUUUGGAAAGUCUUGAAAGCAUGUCUAUAAGUUGACUGAAAAUACACAAAAUGCUUUUUGCAUGUAUUUGUAUAGGUGGAAUAGUGAUGGUCCCAGGAUUUCGAAAGGAUCGUGUAGUGGAUGAUUAUGAUAGCCUUCCUAAUGCAAUUGGCUACAGUGAAAGAUUCUCUUAACAAGAAUUUAAAUUUAUUAUUUUAAAUUCUUUCUUUUAACAGACAGAAUUUAACCUUUCUGUUCAUUUUCUUUUCUUUUAUUGGUUAUUCUGUGCUUGGUUUAAUGGGCUUUUGGUGUUUUUAUGAUUUGUUUCAGCCUUUGAUGAAAAAAAUGGAUCUCGGGUGCGUUAAUGUCGUAGUCUUGACCACUUUUUUAAUGGUGGAAUGUGGUUCUUUAGUUGUUUUUAAGCAUCCAUUAUUGAUUGUACAAGUAGAAUAUUACUGUAGAAUGGAACGAGAGACUUUUAAGACUGCAAUAGGAGGAGUUUGAUGAGAACCAUUACUGACUAUUUAUUGUAGAUUUUCUCUAUUAGGCCUUUGGAAAAGUUGCUUGAGCACAGCAAUUAUUUUCAAGAAGUACUUAAUGAAAAUAACGGAUUUUUUUUUGUUGGAAUAGAUGAUUUGCUGUUUCCAAGUAGAGGAAAGAGAUUAAGUGAAGUAUUGCAUCCAGAAGCAUCCCUUGCAGUUUCUUUUGAUUGUCUUUACAGAAAAGAAGAUGUGGGAAAGUCCCGUUUGAGUUGUUAUUAGCUGUCUCUGAUUCUGAGGGGAAUUAUUGGAUAGUUAUACUGUUCUCAUAUAGAAGGAAGGAGAGGAUGUAGUUGUCAUUAGAAAAAGAUAUUGAUUCUGGACUGUCAAGAUUCUGCUUCAAGGUAAUUAAACGUUCAUCAAGAAGGGUCAAUGUGGGAGUUAGUAUGAGUUAAGAAAUAGCGCAGCUAUUUGAGAAGUUCUUUCUUGAUUUUUGGCAACUUGCAGUCUCUGUUCAGGGUUGAGAAUAGUUAUCAGAAAAGGGUAAUUUUCUGUUUGGCAUAAAAAAGAAGUGAUCCUUCAUCAUUUGGUUGUGUCAUUGGAAAGAUGGGUUCAUUUCCUGGGCAUGUUCUUCCAGGAACACUAUUUCUUGUUGUAGGGAUAUGGCAUACAUGGUGUUCUAUUGUACGAUACGCAUUGAGCCCCAAAUCUUUCCGAGUCAGGGCAUGGAAUCCCGUUCCGGGAUGUGAUGGGAAACUCAAAUAUUUGGAACUAUAUGUCAUAACGAUUGGAUCUUUCAUUGAUAUGUGUAUAGAGCUGCUUUAUUCUCCCCACCUCAAGUGGUUUGUUAAUGGAAUGCUGAACCCCAGUCACAUGAAUAAUUUUGAGCAUGGUGGAAUGCUUCUCAUGUUUUUUGUCUUCGGCUUGAUUGCAUUUCUUUCUGAGAAAACAAGGUAAGUCAUUCUUUGCAGCAUCUUCCACCUUUAGUCAUAGAUUUUUUUUAUCAGCAUGUCUUUUAUGUUUUAGUAUUUAUAUUCGUUGUUUCUUUUCUUUUUCAUUUUGACGUAAAGAAGCUCCAUCUUGCUGGGUGCCUGGAUCAAAUGCACUAUGGUAUGCUAUCGUGAAUUAUUGACUUUCAUCAGCCAAUUUAAGGAGAACUUAGGAUUUGAAGUUUUUUGGUCUUUUAAUAUAUACUUUUAUUUUCUGAGGGAUGUGGAAUUUACAAAAGCAAUUCAGGACAAUUUUUUAGGGUGGCCAAUAAGUAGGGAAAGUAAACUUUCCAUAAUGAUAUGCUCUGUGUGGUGAAGUGGAGGAUAUAUGCUGAAAGGAGAUGAAACUGAAUAGCCUAUAGCCUGACCCAUUCUAUUGAAUGUUUCAGAAUAUGAUAUUUUAUGCAAUACUUUUGCUUUCACAUGUGCUCUCUUCAACGCUCGUGUGGCUUUCAAAUUAUGAAAAACUUGCCUUCUUGUUUAGAUAAGAUGCAACCCAUCGAAAACCGAUAGAACAUAUCACAUAUUUACAUUGCCACAUCAAAUUGUUAGUUUUAUUCCAGGAUAGUAAUCACUGCUUUAUUUUUCAAAAUUUGCUGAUUGCUAUGUUUAGUGUGCUGAUUAACUUCUUAUAACUGUUUAACUAACUUACAGAGAGGUCCAUAAUAGCUGAUAUCUUUUGUCUUUGGAAUUUUUUUGGUUUCCUUAAAAGUUAUUUUUGUAUGAGAAAUGUGAACUGCGAGUUCUACAAAUUAUUAGCACGCACUUAAUUAGAAUAGAAGUUACAAUAUGCUAUUCUAAAGGAUAUUGCUGCCAUUUAACAUAAGCCAUCUGGUUGAAAUGAUCUUGUACAUAGAAAAGGAUCUUUUACUCGUCCAGAAAGCUAAGGAUGAUGAGUCUACAAUUUUAGAUCUCGUUGCUAUAUAAUUGUCAAAUUAUAAAGAUGUUCACCCUAUUACUACAUGUUGUCUUCUAUUCUUAUUAUUUUUACUUAUCCAGAACAUACCUUUGUGUUAUGGGUGUUCCUUUAAUUCUUAUUGGUUUUUUUGGAAAGCAUAUCGUGUGUCUGAUAGAUUCGUAUGUUUCGAGAAGCUACCUUAUGGAGUUUGACAGUGUGACUUAUAGAGAAUGUGUUCUGGCAACUUCUUGAGGCUUUAAUUUUCUAAAGAACAUUUAAGUUGUAUGCACAUGGUCAUUGAAUUUUUUGAGCACUUAUAUCUAGGUUAUAACUUAAAGAAUGAUUGCUUUAUAUUCUGGUCUUCUAUUUGUGAUGGUAUGCCUUUUUUCUUGUCCUUAAUAGGCAACAAGAUAUUCAAAUUGAGAAUGCUUCAUUUGCUGCUAAAGUAUUGAUGUUCAAAGAGUUGACUGUACUCUUUGCCACUGAAUUCUUCAUUAUAACGUACCUUGAAAUUUUGUUUUCCAGUUUGUAACCUUGAAUGCCUAUAUGAGAAUGUAGACCAAGGAUUGCUCUGGUGCUUGUCUGUUUUUGCUGAUUGUUACACACUUGUUGCCGUUAGUUUUAUAGAAUCAUGGGUAGAAGCUGUAUAGUUGCUGAUUUUCUUCCUUCGGGUACUUUUAACUGAUGAGUUGGGUCAUCAGUUUAAUCCAUAUUGGUACUAAAAGCUACUUGUAUGUAAAGAAAGUUCAGUUUUAUUUGCUAUAUGGCCGUUGUGGACAUGAAUUUGGCAAACCAACUGCCCUGUGCUACGACCUAAUCCUUGUUAUUAUGGUGUUGAGAUAUUUUUUCUAGUUUUUUUUUUCCUUUUUUUCGUGUUGAAAUAGCUUAAUGUAUCGUCUAUUCCUUCAGCUAUCUCCCGUUGCCAGAUGGAGCUUUGAGCUUGAUUGCUUCCACUGCAUUUUGUGCUGAGUACUUCUUGUUCUACUUUCACUCAACUACGCAUCAGGGACUUGAGGGAUAUUACCACCUAAUCCUCGUUAUCCUCAUAGGCCUGUGCAUUUUCUCUACAAUUGCUGGAGCCCUCAUGCCAACCAGCUUUCCCGUUGAUUUGUUUAAUGGCAUUGUCAUUACUCUUCAAGGCCUCUGGUUCUACCAAACAGCAUUCACUCUGUAUGGUCCAAUGAUGCCAAACGGCUGCUGGCUCAAGGAAGACAAGAUUGCAUGCCAUUCAAAGGAAAGUGAGAUCCGGGGCGAGCUGCUUGCUAACUUCCAGCUAUUUUCUCAAGUUCUAGGAGUUCUAGUUGCUACUGUAGGAGCUUAUUAUUUUGCAUACCCAGCAAAUGGUCACACUGAGCUUAGGAUUUCACAAACACUUGAGGAUGGAUAAGAUGGGCUUUCAAAUUGUAAAUCAAUUUUGUAUUCUACUCUAUUUUUCCAGACAUCUGUCCCACAAGGCGACGCAUAGAGAGAUAUAUACCGUUAACAGUUCUGAUCUUCAUUAUUGCUUGAAAGGAUUACGAAUCUGUUCAGCAAGCAUUAGUUGAUUGUAUUCAGGUUUAGAUUAAGAUGAAAUUAGAUCUAGGUGUUUGUAGGUGCAACUAGAAUAGUGUUGACUUUCAUGAGCUACAAGAUUGUGUAAAAAGUUGAAGCAGCCUGUUUCGUGCGCUUUGAACAUACUUAGCAUAUGUCUGAAAGAAAGAUUUUGACAUUUCUUUUCCUACAGCCUUUUCAAAUCGAUGUUUUGUGCGAUUGGAAGUGGAAUCCUAUUCUCUCUUCAUAAUUAAGAUUUAUAGCAGAGUCAAUCUGUUAAUGGUUUUUUUGUCUCAAUUUGCAGUUAGGACCUCGAGUUUUCCAAAGCCUGACUAAGCCUUUUUCUGCUUUGUUAGGAUGAAAAGCAAAUAAAAGUGUGUGAAAACAAGACCCUGUGAAGGUAUUUGCAUUUAGGUCGCCAAUGUUCAAAAGCCUGUGUAAGCAUUUUUCUGUUUCGUUAGGAUGAAAUGGAAAUAAGAAGUAAAUGAAAAAAAUUGAAAAAACAGUGCAACAGGGAAAAGGGAAAAAAAUAAUGAAGUGGAGAAAAGCUUUCAAGAACCACGUCUUUUACACAAAAAACCUGUCAAGAGGAGGAGGAUCCCCCAAGUGAGACCUUUUUUUUUUUUUUUUUUUUUUUUUUUUUAAAUAAAUGGUGGAUUUGACUGCUUGGUUAUUUAAAACAUUAUCUAAUUUGCAAUGGACUGCUUUUUUUUUUUUUUUUUUUUUUUUAAAGGUAGCAGAAAGGACCUUGGAUGCUCCUAAGAUUACUGAUGAUUGUUAUCUGAAUUUGUUGGACUGGAGCACCAGCAACGUGAUUGCUAUUGGCCUUGGGGAUUCUAUCUAUUUAUGGGAUGUAGAUCCUGGAUCUGCUAUUCAUCUUGUGGGAGAAUGUGGAUGACUUGGGACCGGUGACAAGUGUUAGCUGGGCACCAGAUGGGAAGCAUCUUGCUGUUGGCUUGAACAAUUCACAUAUUAAAAUAUGGGACUCUGAGUCUGGCCAGUUGGUAAGUCUCUUUUCUGCAGCAAUUUUUGCUGCAAUCUUUAACUUUCUGUAUUUGGCUGAACUGCUAAGCAAAGUGUUCAACUUAAGAUUUUUGUUUGCACAAGUAUAUAUAUGAUAAUACUUUCAGGCUGAGUAUAGUUUUCCAACCUUUGGCCUUGAAUAUAUUCAGGGUUUAAGCUUUUGAUUGAUGGUUUGACUUGGACUAAGCAGGUGCAUUCCUGUCGCACAGAAGCUGUAUUCCUUACUUUUUUCUUGAUUCAACCUUUAGAUGUAAACUUCAUAUGGUACAUUUAGCUGGUAUUUGCAGGUCUAUAUAGGCUCAUAUAGUUUGUGCAGCUGUAUAUAUCCAAGUUUUUUGUAUGCUUUGUGUUGAUCGAUUUUGCUUAGUUUCUUUGUCCUGGAUUUACUUUGCACUCGCCAGUAAGAAGAAAAAAGAAAAUAACGAAAUAAUGUAAUCUGUGUGAUUCUAUGGAAGCAUUUUGUGGCAGUACUAGUUAAUAUUACAGCUGAAUUAGGUAGUCAUGCUUCUAAACAUGAAAAGCAAAAUCAUCAGAAGGUCAAGUUCUUUCUUGGUCCUUUGAGUCAAAUUCUCUUGCAUUAAGCUUCCUUUGCUGAAUUAUUAGGCUGAAUGCCUUUUUUUUUUGUAGUUUUUCUUCAUAUUUGAUUCUUCAUGUGUAUUAUUCUGUGUUUCCUCUUGGGUACAGGUGAGGCUAUUGCGUGAAGGACACAGAGCCGAUCGGAAUAAUUAUGUUUUGACAACAGGAGGAAUGGACAUUAUAAUCAUAAGCAAUGAUGUCAGAGUUAGAUCCCUUAUUACUGUUACUUACAGAGGGCAUAGUCAAUAGGCUUGUGGGUUGAAAUGGUCUUCUUCAGGGCAGCAAUUAGCAAGUUGGGGGAACAAUAAUUUGCUCUAUAUGUGGAGCAUAUCAAUAGCUUCUCCUUCUUCUUCAUCUUCUGGUUCUCGAAAUCCAUGGAUCCACUGCUUUGAAGACCAUACAGCUGCAGUACCUGGCAUCCAUUUCAAAGUAACCUGCUAUGGUGAUACUCCAUAGCAUCUGGUGGCGGCAUUUCAAAGCAUCUGGUGGCAGCAUUAGUGAUACUCCACAAUGUCCUGGAAUUUCAACACUGGGGCAUGCUUGAACUCAGUGAAGGUUCACAGGUCACUUGUUUGCUUUGGAACAGAUAUGAACGCGAGAUUUAGAGCUCUCAUGGGAUGAAUGAUAACCAACUCACCCUUUCAUGACUAGGAUUGCUGAGCUCGAGGGUCAUACAUCUAGAGUGCUCUCUGUGGCUUAGGUGUCUAUGGUUUUGCCGAAAAAAUUGAAAAUACAUUCCUUGUACUAGUUACUGUUAUCUGUACUGAACAAUGUUUUCCAUGCAAUUAAAUUACAUUAUCCUUCUUGUCAUUUUCUGCAUCUUACUGAUUCUUGCUUGUUAUACAUGAAUCAGAGUCCAUAUGUAUACACUGUUGCAAGUGCAGCUGCAGAUGAAGCUCUGAGAUUCUGGAAAGUAUUUGGAUCUGCUGAAGUGGCUUAGCCUAAACGCAAAACAAUGAUUUCCUGACAUGGCGUGCAUCAGAUAGUUGUAGUUGCCAUAUGGUGGAAUAGAGUAGAAUUUUGUAUAUAACAAUUUUGUAUAGGCAAUUUUCCCUCACCAUGCCUGCAUCACAUACUUCUAGCUGCUAAAUAUUGUGACACUGGACUUUGGAUAGUGGGGAAAAGUUCCAUUGAUGCAGCAAGGUGAAAUUGUCUGCAAUCCUAUCAAAGUUAUGGGUUCUCUCCUACUCAAACUUUGCUGGAUGUCAUGCUUUGGGGAAACCAGUUGGUAAUGAUACCUUCUGUUUUCGUUUUUCUCUUUUUGAAUUGAAGCAGCGAUAUCAGACUACUACUAUUAGCCAUGAUCAGUUCAAGUGAUUUUGGUUUCAUGUUUACUUUUUUCACCUCUAACCUUUUAUAAGAUUCAUCUUUUACAACAAUCAAUUCUUAACAGGAGUGUCUCAAUUUUUAUAUUUCUUCUUUAAGAACAAAAUUUUUAUUUAAAAACAAGCGUGUCAAAAAAACAAGUAGAAAAUAUCAAUGGAAGCGAACUUAUUUUGACGGGAAUCAAUUCAUUUAGAAGGAGAAAACCAAUUUGGUUUGGCUUUGGAACAAUUCGACGUUCGAGCAAGAAAAACAUAGACGUAAAUACUGUAAGGAAUCAAAUAAGUAUACGCAGCGAAAAUUUAAAAUUUUUGAUUUCUCAAAGAACCUUAUAACCUUGACAAUUACAUAUAACAUAAGAAGGUGUUCAAGUGAAUUACCUCAAUCAAGGUAAUGCACGCGAACAGUCUGACAAAUCUGAAGUAGAGGAAGGUGAGACGUCCAUGAAGCUGUUCAAGCGUCCGGCCUCUAACGGUGAUCCACACGAACUCCUCUUGCCAAAAACCUCCAAGGCUGAAUUUUUCUCAUUAGAACUAGUGCUAGCUAGUUUUAUGAUGAACCCACACGUAAUAGAGUAGAGAAAAUAAACUCAAAUUCAAAACUAGGGUUUUUGGCCAAAAUAGGAAAAACAUUUUUCCCUUCCAAUUUUUCCCGAAUUUUAAAAACAUUUUUUCUUUCAUUUUUCUGCUAAAACACUCUAAAAAUGUGUCUAUUCUUUAUGAGAGAAUAAAAGUCUUUUAUAGACAAUAGGUUGAAUAAAUCUAUGUGGAGAUAGAAGUCAUAUUUCAUAAAGAAAACGAAUUUCCUUUUUCUUAAGGUAACAAAUUUCCUUUUUCUAAUAGAACUAUUGUAUUGGAGGACUCAACCAUAAUUGCAUUAUUAGUCUUUUAAGUUUAAUUUGUCUCUCAAAUUCAACUAUAAGUUAUUAACCUUAUCUUUUACAAGACCUUACUUGAAAUUCAUUUAGUCUAGCAAGAAAAGAGUCCUUAAUGUGUGUGACCCAUUAGGUCCUCAAGUACAUUGGCAAUAAGAAUUUGCUAUAGAUAAAUUAAAACUCUUUUAAUUUAUCAUUCAUUUAUCUAAUCAAUCAACUCAUUCUUGUAGAUCAAAUUUAGCAUCUAACAAUGAGUCUUGACCACCCGAGUUCUUAAGAAAAGUCAAGUGGAUGACUUCAGCUUUCAAUGGACGUUUACCAUGCAAUUAAUAUCCUUUUACCAAUUUUAUCUCAACAUUAAUCAUGGAAUAUAUAAUAUAUAUAUUUAUUGUGCCAAUUCUAUAAUAUGAUUAAUACAUAUUUCUUGUAUUAAAAUAUAAUUUCAAAAGAACAACUACUUAGAAAUACCUUUCUAAAAUUCACUCUCUUAGUACUAAGAUUUUAUGAGUUGUACUUCUACAAGUGGCCAUUAAAGAGAUAAUUCCUCUUCCAUAAAAGGUGGUAAAUCGUUGAAACUUAUUCACAAUCUAUCCAUACUUCAAGAAUAUACCCAACAUAUUAAUGAUAUGAGCAUUCCCUUUUACGGGAACAAUCAUAGAACAAAUGAAAUAUAUCCAUCCAUACUCAAGGCACCAUGAUAACUUCAAGUCCAAGGAUCACUUGCAUAAAACACCAUUUAGAGAUAUAUCCUUUUUGGCACAAAAGGUAAUCUUUAUGUAGGUCAAUUUAGUGAAUUUGAUCAUGUUAUCAAGCACCCAUAUACUAACUUAGGUGUCACUACACCAUAGUAGAUGAGAUUUACUACUUCUCAAUGGAAGUGGUUUAGUAUAUGACAAUCUAACUGUAUUAACAAUGUCCCAUUAUGAUUAAUACUGUGACUAGAGAUAUUUAAGAAUAAACUUAUUAAAUCUAAUGAAUCUCAUCAUCAUAACACUUAUGAUUCCAUUGAUUAAAUUUAUUCUAAGAACUUUAUCAUACAAGUAUGAAUAUACAAGCAAUCAAUAUGAUAAAAAAUCAUUUAUUAGAGUACAAAUAGUUCAAGUACAUGUGAAUUUCCCUAUAAGUGAUCGUCUUUAGGGCACAUAUACUAACAAAUACUUGAUUAUGAAUAAGGUCUUUGUUUAAGGUCUUAAAUCAUGGGCAAUUCUCAACCAUUUCGAUCUCCAUUUUUCUUUCGUCCUCGUUAUCCUUUAAAAGAGGUACUUAUUAGAAAGACUUGCAGUUUUGGUUCCAAACAUUUAGUACAUUAGCAAUUCCAACCCCUAAAGUUUCAAUAUUUAUCAUAUUUACUCCCAUCCACUAAUUUCUGCCAAUUAUUAUCGGAAUCCGGUUACUACUAUCAUGUAUAGGCAACGAAUUUUUUUUCAAUAGUACAAUGAGAUAUUGUAAAGUCACUAAAGAUAUCUAGACUAAACUCAGAUAUUUUUGAAAAAAUAAAUGUCCGUUCUUGUGAAUCUACUUGAAAAUUUUAAUAUGGAACUAUAUUAAAAAACUAAUAGUGUGUAUUGUAAGUUACCGAUAUCUUCAAAUAAUAGUUAACAAAUAGACGUGUGUAUUGAUAUCUCAAGCUCGUGGUUCUUGUACUAUUUAUGUAUCCAUGUUGUAUAAUUCUUUAUUUUGAUUUAGGUUUUACCCAUGCUUGUUGUCUCAUCCCUCUCCGGACUUUGCCACGAUGCUUAAAAUAGUUUUUACAGUGUAACCAAUGUCCAACAUGCGCCGUAGAUCUUGAAGUGAGUCCAUGUCAGCGACUUCUCUACUUUUUUUUUUUCCCAUUUGUCUUCGAAUGAGCCAACGUCUGCCAUUUGUCUCUGGGUUACAAUUGUAUAAAGUGACGUGAAGCCAUUCCUCGUGAUAAUAUGAAAUUCUGUUGUCUAAUUGUUGCAACUAAUAUGCGUAUUCUUUAAUAAGGAAUAACAUAGAGUCACAUAUUUGACAUUCUUCUAUUUUAAGGAGAUGGAUAGUGCCAAUUAGAAUCGUUAUAUUCUACGUCAUUAUUAAAGUAUCUAAUGGGUACUGGAUUUGUCUCAAAGUUUUCGUCUGAAAUAUAAUCAUCGUCAUUAUUUUGUCUAUAGUUUAUGGUCUUUGUUGGAUUAUUUAUGGGGAUUAGGGGAUCAUUUAUGACAAUAGUGAGAUUAUUCAUGAAAUCAUUGGGGAUUAGGGGAAUAUUUAUGAGAUCAUUGGGCUCUGAUACCAUUUCGGUGCCCAAAUUUGAGAAAACAUAAUUUAAGUUUGGGUUGGCUAACACAAUAUUUAUAUUUACUGUUCUUGAUUCAAAAGAUAUUUUUAUUUUUAAAUUGUAUUCAGCAUGCAUAAUAUUUAUUGAUAAACUACUAAAAGGAUUAGACGUAUUUUCCAUAAAAUUUUUUGAUAAGAUAAUAGAGUGCAAGCUAUAUCAAAACUUAACAAUUUCUUAUUAACAAAAGAAAUUAAGAGAAAAUUAAAAGAAAAUAUAUGAAGAAAAGAAAGGCAAAAUACUACAAAAGUAGAGAAAAAUUUCCGAAAAAGAAAAAGAUGUAUAGGAGAAAUAAAAGAAGAAGAAAUAUAACAGAUUGCCAAUGUUAUUUUUGUAAAGAAAAAGGACACUUAGCAAAUCAACAACAAAUUAUAGAAUAGAAGCUAGAUAUUGGAAUGGAAAAAAUAUUUUAACCGACUUAAAAAUGCUUAUGCCCGUAAUACCCCUCCUUCGUCUCACUUUGAUAGUCCUGAUUUUUUUUUUUUUACACAAUUUAAGAAAAAUUAAUUAAUUUUGUUGGAACAAUCAACUUAGGUAGCUAUUUUUCUAAAAUACCCUCACAUUAAUUAGAGUACAACUUUACGAGAACUUGAAUUGAUAGUAAAAAAAAAAUCAACUCUAAUUAAAUGGGAUAGGUUUAUAGUAACAACAACCUAUAUUGAAUAAGGAUAUUUUAGAAAAAUUAAAAUAUAACUACAUUCUUUAAUUAAAAAGUGAACUACAAUUUGAAAUAGACGAAAAAAGAAAAUAGAACUAUCAAAGUGGAACAGAAUGAGUAUAUUAACUGCUGAACUUAACAAAAGAUCCAAUAUUUUGCACUUUGAUAGAUCGGAAAUAAAAAAUUUAUUCUUAAUUGUUGAUAAAUCAAAAGUUCACUUGACUACUAAUUGGAAGCCACUCGGAUUUUUUUCCCCCUUGAUUAGCAUGCGUUGAUCUCCUAAAAUGCGAAAAUGAGUACUUAACCAUUACGUCGAAAUAUAUUACAUACAUAAAACAGAAGACAGAUAAAGCAACAUUUGAAGUCUUUCCAAUCGAGGUUCAGCCUAUAAUGCACUCCAAAUAAUUCCAGACCCAAACUCUCAAAAGCUUCCGGGAUCGAUGGAGUAGAUCUACUCCUAGUUUACCAUAACAAUAUCCACGCGUAAUGGCAUCACAGAAGUGAAAACAACAAAAAGGGGAAAACAUUAAGUAAAUGAUGGCAUAGUCCAUAAUUCUUGACGUCAAUCAGUAAGGGGAUUUUUAAUGGGACUCUCUAAAAGAGGAUUUGACCAUGCAGGUUAAUUACACGAUGUCAGAAAUAUGCCUGAUUUUUAUCAGCUCAAAUCGUUUCUUUCAUUUUAAGUCCAACAAUUCGAUUCGUACAAAAGAGAAAUAAGGCAAGUUCUACUCUACACUUCAAAUUAAUGAUAGUUGAUACAUCUGAUUUCCCGUUAGCUGAUGAGAAGAUAAUCUGCUUCCUGUAAGAACUUGUCAGCUGCUGUUGGGGGCAGAUUAUGUCGAGAUACUGGUUUAUGGACCUGGGCAUGAGUCUCUGCUGCAUGCUGGAACAUCUUUACCAUCUCUUGCAAUUCCAAUUUCUUAAUCUCAACCUUCUCCUCGCUGAUGGGAUUUUUUAACCCAAAAUAGAGCAAUCCAAUCACUAUUAGCACAAUACCUAAGAAAACAAGUACGCCCGAAAACAGCCCAAAUGCAUAUGGCGUGUUCGCAGCUCCAGGAAUCCCAUCAACAUUGAUUCCAAACAAGCCAGUGAUAAUGGUAAGCACAAGGCCACAUCCACCAAAAACAGUCAAAUUAUGCGUGACUCUAAGGCUUCUAUCCUGACGGUCAAUGAAAAAGACGAAGUUCCCAUGUCAAAAUUUCUAAAACUAUUUCCCAUGUUAGGGAAAUAAAUGAAAAGGAUAGAAAAAUGGCAGGUGAUUGAGUAUUAUAUCGUUCCUAUGAAACAGUUAAAAUAGAAGAGUUGUUUCAAAUAUCUAUUAUCAAUAUUAGCUAUCCAAAUAAAAUAUGUCAAGUCUAAGAGCUAUAACUGAAAAUUUGGUCAUUUGGAACUUACUAAGAACGGAAAAAAAAAGGAAAAACAAAAACAAAAAAGAACAUGAGAUAGCUUAGAGAGCCUAACAGUUUUCUUUGUUGAUCUAAUGUAGAACGUUCCAUUAAAAGAGCAAUUGACUUAACCAUUGUUAUGUCAAAAAAUACAUUUAUUUUUCGGAGGAUGGUCUUCAAGCAGACGAAGCCAUGGAAAGGAAUUUAGAUGAAGACUAAGUUUGAAAUCCAUCACUUCUAAAAGGAACUAAAGGUAUGUAAAGAUUUCAAGGAACACUUAAAAUCCACUGUUAGAUACGACGUCAUAGGCUAGUUGUAUUCACAAUAUCUUGUACUAGAAACCAGUGCACAAGCCAUGAACAUACCUGCAACCAUGCACGAAUAGUGCUCUGCAUGACAUCUUGGAUGGUAAACAAGCGGCCUCGAACUGCUUCUUGCUCUUCAAUCAUCUCUCUUGUACUCUUUCUAAUUCCUUCUAGCAGACUUCUAGCUGUAUUUCCUCUCAAAUGCUGGAGAAGUUCAAACACAAUCUCCUCUCUUGCAUGAAGUGACCAUUUCACCCUGAUGACCUGGAAUUCUGGAAGAUGUAACCAAUGACAGAAAAAAUAAUAUGUCGCUGCUAAGCUAAUUCUAAUAUGACAAGCUUGUUGCCUUUCAGACCUGGGCGUGGGGGAGAAAAAGUAAUAAGCAGAAAAAAAUGACCCUUUUUGAGCUACAGCAUGGAGCUUUACUGUUCCAACAAUAAGACCAAACACCAAAGAAAGUUCAAAGACACGAACCGAACCAACAAAGAUGAAGAUAUAUACAUAAAGACAAAACAACUGUUUUAAUACAGUCAUGAGUUCAUGACAAUAACAUCUACAAUAUAUAGAAAGCCAGAGAAGGAGGUUAAGUAUCAAUUUUCCCAUCAAUUUUCAAACUUUUAAACCUCACAACUAUAGGUAAAAUGGUACCGCCGUCGUCUCUUUUUCAAAGCCAUAACUAGUAUCUUUUUCUUAUCAAUCUCUUUAUUUAAUUUGUACACGCAUAGCCUGUGCCUCCCCCCUAGAGUCUAUAAAGUAUGUCACAGAUGCUUUCCCUCUUAAGUUAGUAGUUACAAUCAGAAUAAUAAAUUUCAAAUUAGAUCAUUCAUCACUUUUAGAUAAGAACUAGAGCCAGAAGGCAAGGACGCUCAUUCCUCUCAUGCUGCUCAUUCCUCUCAAUGCCCUUCUCCAGAAAUACAAGUAAUUCAAGAGAUACAUAUACGCUACAGGGUUUGCUGUAUUGCAGUCAAUAAUGAUAACAAAAAUGCAUACAAUUUUUAUAGUACAUAGAUAUAUAUAUAGAACCCUUUUUAGGGAAAUGAUAUUAGCACUCCAAGCAUAGCCUCUGGCACUCCAUCUUUGACUUUUAUAAGUUGAAAAAACAUUUUUAUCCUUUUUCUUCUACUUCUUUGAUCCAUUGCUUCCCUGCACCCAGUCCUAAAAUGAAUUCUUUUGCCUCGUCACUUCUUCAAGUACCCAAACCUCCUUGAAUUCUUCUCUGUUGUAAUAUCUUCUUCUGAUUAACAGAAUUUACGCAAAACCCACAUCCCAAUCCAGAAAAUUUCAAAUUCCCUAAACCAAAACAUUUCAGUGGCCCCAUCCAAUAUUUAGCCAAAAGAAUCUCGAUGUUCAUUGCCCAAAUCAAAUCCACCAGUAGGAAAUAAAUUAAUUUCACCCACUCCAUUGAAUUGGACAAACUAGCUCAUUUUUUAUGAGUAUAGCUCAGGGUCUUUUUUUUCGUUUUUUUCAAUUAUGCAAUGGGUUUGGCUAAUGAGUAGUAGCAGUUUUUCUAUCAUCUUGUAGGCCUUGGAAAUUCAUGGGGCAGGGAAGAAAGACACGGUAAUCUAUACUACACCAAUAUCAAUGUCAAUGAUUUGGAUUAGAGGUGGCAAAAUGGGCGGGAUGGGCGAGAUUUGCUUGGAUUUGAGAUGGAACCGAAUCAUAUGGGUUUGGGUCCAACCAUACCUAUAUGUGUUUUGGGACUAACUUGGGCGGGAUCACUUUGGGAUGGGUUUAGAUUGAUCCUGCCCAAUACCCAAAUCUAUUUUCUACAUAUUUUUUUCCUUUAAUUCAUUUUUUAUUUUUUUAUAUAAUUUUAAUAUUUCGAUUUAUUAAAUUUCUUUUAGUUUUAUUAAAUAAACAUGCAAGUGCUUUAUACUUAAGAUUUCCACCAAAAAUUGGAUUAACAAAUAAAAGAAAAGAUAGAUAUACAGCCAUAUUCCAACAUAUAUCAAAAUGGCUAAGGUACUUAGGGUGUUGAAUAUUUAUCCUCAUCAUUGUCCAAGGAUGACAGGUCUAAACUGACUGAAAUGCUGGAAAUUCUUGUGGAUAAUGACUAGGAAGACUACUAGAUUAUAUUCGCUGGUAUGAUUAUAAAAAUUGUUAAAGAUAAUUUUUGAAUCUAGACUCCGUUUGGAUUGGCUAUUUUUGCAAAAAAUAAGUUUUUCAAAUACAAUGUUACAGUAAUAUGCAAUAACUCAAAAAACAUCCCAUCCAUAUUAGUAUAUCAAAUAUUUCAAAAAAAAAUUUCAUAGACACUGAUACAAUAAAAUAUUUCAAAAACAUCCCCCAAAAAUAGGUAAUCCAAACGGAGCCCUUGCUAUUUGAGCUUAAUGGGUACCCAAGUAUUUUCCAAAAUUUCCCAUCAAUUAAUGGGUACCAUUGGGAUUUGUCCCAUUUUAAACCUAAUAUCAAAUUCCAGUACCCAUCCCGCCCAAAGUCCCCAUGAGCAUGGGUAACCCAUUGGAAUUUGGGACAAAUUGUCACCUCUAAUUUGGAUUAACUCUCCAUGAUUGAGAUGUGCUUUGCAUAGGAACAUAAGUGUCUAGGUAAAGUUUGGUGUGGCUUUAGUUGGGAAAAGAUGAUGGGAGACGGAGGGUAAAAGAUAUGCUAGUUUGUAGGUGAGAGGAAGAUGGUGCAAUUGGAAGUGUCUGGAGCCAUUGAUGGCGAGGACUCCUGAUGCGGUCAUUUGAAGGUGGAGUUCUAGGGGCAAAUUUGUCUUAAAAAAUUUAAAAGGCAAUGUUGGAGUGCCAAUAUCACUUGCCACCUUUUAUUUUAACAGAAAAACAUCUUUACACAUAGAUAGAGACAUGCACAUAUGCACAUGGCAAUACAAGUCUGAUAACUUUUUGAACUGCAUAAUAAGGCAUCUUCUUUCCUAGCUCUUACAGUUUAAUCUGGCUGUUAAACAGGAUUCUUCUGCUUCAUUUUUCAGUGCUCAAAUAUGAUAUGCCAUUUGUUUCCCCACCCAGCAUAUGACCAAAAGAAAUAGCACUCUAUACCUUUAGCAGAUUUACUGGUAUACCUGUGUUGAUAACUUUCUGAUUUCUUGGUUCAGAAUUAUGCCGAAAAGAUUCAAAUCCUCAUGGUUCCUCCUGAUUACAGGACAAUUGUUUUUCUUAGAAAAAAAGCAAGCAAAAGAGUACCAAAAAUAUUCAAGAGCAAGAAAUUAAUACCUGUUCAUAAAUUUCAAUUCCACUUCAUCAGCCACACCAAAUAUCGAUUUUCGGAACAAUCUAACAAUAGACAAACAAAUAUUCCAUAUUAACAUUUCCAAAAACUAAUUGGGUAAGAGUUAUGUGGUUGUGCAUCAUGCUAAAACAUAGAUGGCUACUUUUCUCAAGAGUUGAAGAUUAAUUUCAGUGGUAUGAAGAUGGACAAGUGGAGGUCUUUGAAAGAAGGUAGCUGCUAAAGCUCACAAAAUUCUAUUACUUCUUUUGCCUAGAAUUACAGGGGAUGAUUUCCAGCAGGAAAGAAAAGCAGCAGCACCAAAAUCAACAAGAAUUAAAGAUUAACAACGACAGAGAAUGAAAGGCUUGGCAAGAAUAAUUUAACAGAAAUGCUAAUUACUUCACAAUUGCACUUGUUGGUAGCUGGUCAAAGGACAGUAGUUAACUACUUACUUUUACCAAAUUGGUGUGUUAUUUAACUCAUGAAAUCAUGAAAUCACCAUCAAGCAAAUAGGUACUCAGUGGAAUCAUCAGCUAACAGCAUUUUUAGUUAUUUAAACCAUCAGGCUCUAACAUAAGAACCUGGCAGAAAUUUGUGAGAGCGAGUAGGAAAAGCAAUAUUUAAAUUAAGCAGCUAGAUGGUAAUUAUUCUGUUGUAAUUACUCAUCACACCAGUAUGGUUGCAACUGUAUCUCUGUGUGUGUGUGUAUGUAUAUUUUUUAGCUUCAGAAUCUUAGAAAUUCACCAUCAAUCUUGGCACCGUCAAUUUAAUGGUCAGUUUACUGCAUGCAUGGUAAAGGGGCCACUGUAAAGCCUGAUUGGGGAGUUAAAGAUCUAGCUUUCCUGCUUCCUGCAGCUAUAACUAUGUCAGGACCAAAUAUUUAAACUACUAGACAUUCUAGACAUUAUAUAGCACUUUCUCACUCCUCUACCCUGCAAACUCAAAAUAGCAACUGUAAAACCUUGUCUUCAUCACUCAUCAGCACUUUGUAUUGAAUCUAUCAGCCAAAUACCCCUUUUUCUCUUAAAUUAAAAAAGUGAUCACCAACCUUGAUAAGAUGAAAAACAAUAUAUAUAUAUUUAUAUAUAUAUAUAUAUAUAUCGCGUGCUUCAAGAAGGAGAUCGGAUUUGACUUAAACUGCUGCCACUUUAUUGUCUUUUCAUCUUUUUCUCCUAGAUUUCAUCACAUGACAAGAUAAGGAUGCUUGGGGUUCUAGACUCUUAUUACGUCCCUUAUUAUUGAAGCAACUCAAUGUACCAAGAGUUCCAUUAUACCACAAAGCAAAACUGCAGAAAUAAAACCAUCAACUAGAAGCUUGCAAGUGUAUUUAUAAAUUUCAUUAAUUUAAACUUAUGUGGCUGAGAGCCCUCACAGCCCAGGCACAAUGAUGCAAUUAUCAGGGGCGAUUUGCCCACUUAAACUACUUUCCUGGUUGAUUGAAUCCUCUCUUAUGCGCACUCAUGUGUCCAACUUCAUGUUCAGGAAAAAGAAGGAAUAAAGACUGACAUCUAGAAUUCCCUUUAUAAUCAUGCAUCUACAGAAUGUCAUCUAGAAAUCCACUCAGAGUAGCAGCUCUAACAGGAUAGUAAACUAUGAAAAGAUCAACUAACCUGUCAUCCCAUCGAGCAAGACGGCAAGCUAAAUGUGCAAUAACUUCAUGUACUGUUUUUGGAGCAUUGUAACCACCAGCUACAAGUAGCUCCUAUAAAUGGAAAAGUAUAAUCCCGUUCAAGAUAAAAGAUGCUGAACUACCAAAAUGUCCCAAAAAGUGGCAAAGACACUAACAGUUGUAAAGCAAAUAUUGUACCACGAAGGUUCAUAAGUGAGUUCAACUAGGACCUACAAGUAGUUCAUAGGGUGCAUCCUAAAGCUAUAUUUCUGGGUCUCGCAUGCUGAUAUUGAAUUCCGGUAUGUCUCUAGGUGUCUAAUUCAUCAACCAUCUAAAAUGGAUACGGGACAAUUCUAAAGAAUCGGAUACAGAUACAUGGGUUCAGCGGACAUUCUAGUAAAUAUGAGAAUAAUAUUACACUUCAACCAUUUAGCAGACAAACAACAGUACUUUAAUCAAUCCACAGUUGCUGGUAGCUGACGAUUGGAGAACUUAAUUGAUUUCCGAAGCCAUAGAACACUAGCAAAUCCACCGAAUUAUCGUUUUGUCGCUUAUCAUCAUUGUAAAGUAAAAAUACACUAGUGCAGCAAGGCAUACUCCAUAAGUCUAGCACCCAAUUUAAGGGCAAUGGUGAUAUGGGUGUUCAGUGCAGGUAAAUGAAGAGACUUGAGUAACAUAGGCAGUGCUGUGAAGUGUCAAGAACAUAUUCCACGCUAGUACCAGUGCCGUGAAGUGUCGACAAGGGUUUGGUGGGGGUUAUAAUGGUCCGAAUAACAUAGGCCAGAAGCUUGUGGAAAAUCCAAUUUAAGCCAAUCAUGAUACCUUUCCUGCAAGAAAUGGGAAGCAAGUUAUACCCCCACACCUCCUGACAGGGGACAUUAUAGCGGAAGACACCUAUACUAUGUCGGGUCAAAUGUUAGGGUCCCUCCAAGUGUGUUUGAAUUGUUGUAAAGAACAUAGAUAUGCAACCAAACCUUGAAUAAGAGGACUCGAACAUCUCAAUCAUUUAGGAGUUUAUGGAUUUUCUGUACCAAAAAAACUAAAGAAUAUUUGGCAUAGUGUUGUAGUGGAUUUAUAAUCAAAAUCAACUAAUAUUAGGAUAGAAAGAUCACUUAAAAGACUCUUGAGGUAAAACAAGUAUACCUGAACUUCUGCGAUGCCCAAAACAUUGAUUCUUGAUGCAGAACCUUUCACGUGCAGAGCAGAAAUCAGAAAGUUAUGUGUUUGCCAAGAACGAAGAACUAUGGGUAUAUCAUCUUCAUCAGCAUAUGGAUCUCCUGCAGAUUGCCCCAAGAGCUCAAACAAUAGGCCCCCAGCCACCCUAACUGGUACCUAUAGAAGUUUAAAAUUUAAUUAGGUUUCCAUGCAUUCUGGGAAAAAAGUUAUUCUUAUUAAACUUCUUGAUCUUUUCCAUCAUACAAAAAUCAUCCAACACUUAUCUAAACUUGGCCUUUUUUCCAUUGUUGGACAUGGGAAAGGAAACAGCUCAAAGUAAAAGCUGAAGAAUCAAAAUUCCUUUCACUUAACACCAACAGAAUUCAAGGAAUUAACAUGUUUGACCAAUCAUAUUACUUUUUUCAUAGUAUGCCCCUGGACUAAUUCUUGAUGGUAUGAAGGUAAAUCUUGCACCUUGUCUAGCAAGUCUUUUGUCCUGUGUGUUGAACAUGAAGCAUCAUCAUUGUUUUGUUAAAUAAUUUUGUUAAGAGAAUAUAAGUAUUUUUGUGAAUAAUAAAUUAGUAAGGGUAUUCUUGUAAAUAGUUUGUUAGGUUUGUAUUCCUAUAAAUACUAGUUGGUCACUAAUAAUACUGUGACUAGAUGUUUUCCUUCCAAAAUACCUGUUCUCAUGGUAUUAGAGCAAAAGUCCCAGGAUUAGGGUUAAACAUCUAGCAAAAGUCCUGUUCACGCGAUAUUGGUCAUCGCGUGUUGUUCACGUGAUACUGUUCAUCGACUGUUCAUGCAUACUGUUCAAAAAGUAUUGUUCACGCGUUACUGUUCAUCACGAAUUUUGACUACUUUUUUGUUUGAAGUGCUAUUCGAUAUGGUUGAAAGUUUUGCCAAUGCGGUUACCACUGACCAAGUUAAAUCAAAUUCUUCAACACAUGGGUCCUAGAAGACUUUUACUAUAUCCGAGGAAGAUUAUAUUAAAUUCCUACAGUACCAAGUUACAAAUCACGCAUCUCUUCCCUCUGUUUCUUUAGCACAAAAAAGUAAUGACUCAUGGAUUAUUAACUCCGGGGCUACUGAUCAUAUGUCAGGUACCUCUAAAAAUUUUUCUAAUUUUCAAGAGUAUUUCCUUCCCUCAUAUUACUUUAGCUGACAGAUUUACCACUAAAGUUAAAGGACUAGGCACUGUAGAAAUUAACCCAUCUCUUCUGCUGUCUUCUGUUCUUUGCGUACCUAAUUUACUUUUUAAUCUAAUGUCUGUUAGUAAACUCACCAAAUUUCUACAGUGUUCAGUUACUUUUUUCCUGAUUUUGUUGCUAUUCAGGAUUUGAAGACAAAGAGGACGAUUGGUGAAAGGCAUGAGCAUAAUAGUUUUUAUUUUUUCAACUCCAAUGGUCCGAUUGCAUGUCCUGCUACUGUUUCUCCUCUUGAAAUUCACUGUCAUUUAGAUCAUCCAUCUUUACAAAAUUUGAAAAAGUUCGUUCCUACUUUGAGUUAGUUGUUUUCGUUAGAAUAUGAGUCUUGUCAGUCAGGAAAGCAUCAUCGUGUUUCUUUUGCUCCUACAGUUAAUAAACGGGUUUUUAAACUCUUUUUGUUAGUUCAUUAUGAUGUUUGGGGUCCUAGUCGAGUCACUUCAAAGUUAGGUUUUACAUAUUUUGCAAUCUUUGUUGAUGAUUUUUUAAGAGUUACAUGGCUUUAUUUAAUGAAAGAUCGUUCAAAAUUAUAUUUCAUUUUUUGUGCAUUUGUUAUAGAAAUAAAAAAUCAAUUUGGUGUGCCUGUACAUGCAGUGAUAAUGCGAAAGAAUAUUUUUCCACUCCUUUUAAUACCUUUAUGACUAAGUCCGGUAUUAUUCAUCAGUUCUCUUGUCCUCACACUCCACAACAGAAUAGAAUUGCUAAAAAAAUAAUUGGACAUUUAAUCGAAAUUGCUUAGACACUUUUGUUGCACAUGAAUGUGCCCAAACAAUUUUGGAGCGAUGCAAUUCUAACUGCAUGUUGUUUAAUUAAUCGCAUGCCAUCUAAUAUCCUUGGAGGCCAAUUACCUCACUCCAUUCUUUUUUCACAUGAACCUGUGUUUAAAUUACCUCUUCGUAUUUUUGGAUGCGUGUGUUUUGUUCAUCAACUUGCUCUCGGGAUGGAUAAAUUAGAUCCUUGUGCUAUUAAGUUUAUUUUCUUGGGAUACGCACGAGCGCAAAAAGGGUAUAGAUAUUACAGUCCAAUUUUAAAUCAAUUUUUUACUUGUGUUGAUGUUACUUUCUUUGAAUCCACUCCAUAUUUUAUGAAACACGGUAUACCUUGUAAGUUAGACCAGUGUCCCUCUUUUUUCUCUCCUAUUUUACCAGUCCCUUCCUCUUUAUUACUUGAGUUAUCUGGUCCACCAGAUUCCAUAACUCGAUUAUCUCAUCAUAAUCUUCAAGUUUAUUCUCAUCGUUCCAUGGUUGAGAUAGUUCCUGAUAUGCCAUGCACUUCACCAAUUAACUCUCAAUUUUCAAAUCCAGGUUUGAUGCCCUCCUCUAAGUUAGAUCUUCCUAUUACUUUACACAAAGGUAAGAGGCAUUGUACUUCUCAUUCUAUUUCUAAUUUUGUUUCUUAUUCUCGUCUCUCUAUGUCGUAUUUUUCUUUUGUUGCUUCCCUUGAUUCUGUCUCCAUUCCCAAGUCUAUUUUCCAUGCUCUUAAUCAUCCUAGUUGGAGAUUAACUAUGCAAGAAGAGAUGUCUGCUUUGGAACAAAAUGGUACUUGGGAUUUUGUUCCUCUUCCUUCUGGUAAGCCUGUUGUUGGUUGUAAAUGGAUGUACACUAUAAAAGUGCAGUCUAAUGGUUCUAUUGAUAGAUUGAAGGCUCGUCUGAUAGCUAGAAGAUUUACUCAGGUGUAUGGAAUAGACUACUUAGAAACAUUCUCCUAUUGCAAAGAUUACCUCGGUUCGUCUUCUUAUCUCUUUGGCAGCAACUUAUAAUUGGCCAUUGCAUCAGUUGGAUGUGAAAAAUGCAUUUCUACAUGGAGAUUUGGAAGAAGAGGUAUAUAUGAAGCAACCUCCUGGCUUUGUUUUUCAGGGAGAGAAUUCGCGAUUGGUUUGUCGUUUGAAAAAAUCCUUAUAUGGAUUAAAACAGUCUCCGAGGGCUUGGUUCGGUCGGUUUAGUAGUGUUGUCAUGGAGUUCGGCCUGACAAGAUGUAGAGUAGAUCACUCUGUAUUUUAUCGACAUUCUAAUGUUGGUAAAAUUUGAUUAGUUGUUUAUGUGGAUGAUAUUGUGAUUACAAGUGAUGAUGUUGUGGGGAUCCAGAAACUUAAAUCCAAUCUGCAGGCAAACUUUCAGACAAAGGAUUUAGGUCAUCUACAGUAUUUUCUGGGUAUUGAAAUAGCUUGGUCUAAAUAUGAAAUUUAUUUAUGCCAAAGGAAAUAUGUACUCGAUAUGCUGAGUGAAGUUGGAAUGUUAGGUUGUCGACUUUUGGAUACUCCUAUGAAUUCUAAUGUGAAAUUAGUAGGAGAUCAACUUGCAUUAUUAGAUGAUCCUAGACAAUAUCGAAGACUUGUGGGUAAAUUAAAUUAUCUCACUGUAAUGAGACUUCACAUUUCGUUUGCAGUGAGUGUUGUGAGUCAAUUUCUUAAUACCCCUCGUACUAGUCAUUGGGAUGCUGUUAUACGAAUUCUCAGAUAUCUUAAGAGUGCUUCUGGAAAAGGGUUAUUGUAUCAAAAUCAUGGACACAUUGAUAUUGAAGGAUAUAGUGAUGCAGAUUGGGCUGGUUCUGCCUCAGAUCGAAGAUCGACCACAGGAUAUUGUGUGUUUGUUGGUGAUAAUUUAGUAUCGUGGAAGAGUAAGAAGCAAACAGUUGUCUCCAGAUCAAGUGCAGAAUCUGAAUACUGCGCUCUGACUCACACUGUGUGUGAGUUGGUUUGGUUGAAGAGCAUGUUACUUGAACUUGGGUUUGAGCAUAAACAGCCUAUGAAUUUAGUGUGUGAUAAUCAGGCGGCCGUUCAUAUUGCAUCUAAUCCAGUGUUUCAUGAAAGAACAAAACAUAUUGAAGUUGAUUGUCAUUUCAUUCGAAAGAAAUUGCUUGACAGAGUCAUCAAAACAUCUCAUGUACCGUCUGUAGAUCAAUUGGCUGAUUUGUUUACCAACAGUUUAAGGGGCUCUAGGGUGAAAUACAUUUGUAAUAAGUUGGGUGCUUAUAAUAUAUAUGCUCCAACUUGAGAGGUAGUGUUAAGAAAAUAUAAAUAUUCUUGUAAAUAGUUUUUUAGAUUUGUACUCCUAUAAAUACUAGUUGGUCACUCAUAAUACUGUGACUAGAUGUAUUCCUUCCAAAAUACCUAUUCUCAAAUUUAAACAGUAAAAGCUCUCCCAAUAGCCACCACUCAGAGCUUUUGUUGGUGAGUAUUUUUCUUCUCAAUGAGACAAGAAGGAUGACAAAGUUUGCUUCAAGAGCAAAGCUGCGAAUUGAAUAAGUAAGACUCCUGUCUAGACAAUACAAGAUGACAUGCGUCAUGAGACAUGAAGGAUGAGAAAUUUUGCUUAUGUGCAAAGCUACAAAUUUUAUGGCUAAUAGUCAUGUCUUGACAACAGGUAAGAAUAAGAGGUAGUUGAUAUGCUUGGUAACAAGUAGGUCUGUCAAAAUAUUAAAUCAAGUUAAUGAAGGAAAUGUUGUAGAUUAGGCAAGGGAAAGCACUUGUGGCAUCAUAUUUUGUUUUUUGUACCUAGGUACUGCAACACAUAAUAAGACUUUCUUGUAAAUGGGAUACAACAUCCAUGAGUACUUCAUUAUUGAGAUAUUUUCCAUCGUCAUGGACUUUAUACUUUUAAAUUAGCUUCCAGGUGUAAUCUUGACAUAUUAGCAAAGGGAAUGGAUUGCAGCUGCUGAUAAUAUUUUCUUUAGAAUAGGAAGAUUCUCAUCUUGUGCUGCUAGAGCAGUCUUUUCCAUAAACUGCCUCCUUUCUAUGUACCAAACGAUCUUGUGAUCUAACUUGUCUGCGUCAGACAUGGGCAGUAUACUGAUGAUGACUAGAAACUCAACUCACUAGAGACAAAAACGUUUUUUCUAAAGAAUCUGCAUUUUUCCUUGUGUGGAUUCAAUAAUGGAAUGCUUCAGCUAUUAGCUUAUGUAGCAAAUCAGUAGCCUAUCCAAAAACACCACAACAUCUUCAUACAUGAACAAGCCCAUUGAAGGGAAAUAAGGCAGUGCACCGUGAUUCCAAAGUGUGACCAUUGCAAUCGAGUGUGCUGGUCAAGUAGCUUAAUAGUCUUCCAGCCCCAGACUAAUAUGUGCAGAGUUUUUCCUCCCCCCCCCCCUUUCCGUCUCUUUGUUACCAAAUAUCGUGCAUUCCCUAACUACAGAUCAUUAGGCCAAUUGAUCAAGCUUUAUCAAGAUAACAUCAAUAAAUUUCAACUACAACAUCUUAUGCUAGUUCAGCAUCAACUCAUGUACUCAUCUACUUACCAUCACCAUCAGUUGUAUUUCCAUGUUCCUAGUUACUAUUACAAAUAUAUUCCUCCCUAUAACAUCAGCAAAUAAAAGUAUCUAACAUCAGCAAAUAAAAGUAUCAUGUCAAAAUCAUCCAAGAUUGUAGUCUGCAGAGAAACUGAAAAAAGGAGAAGAAUAGAGUAGCAGUCAAAUUCCUAGUGGAGCACUAAAAACUUGGUCGCACUAAAUUUUCAUGGAUUAAAUGCACUAAAUUUUCAUGGAUUACGUGUCUUAAAUUGAGAAAAUGAGUUAGAGGACCCUAUUCAACAGUUUAUAUUUUACUGGCAUGGUUUGAUAAAUAAGUUUCACAGUCAAUUAGUUAAACAACCAAAACAGCAUGUCUGACAUAUGGUAAUUUAUAUUAACCAUACAAUCAUUACCAGUUACUUAUAGUGCUCAAAAAUAUUGUCCAAAUCACAAAACUUCAUAUGACAGCAUACAAGUUGUGUUUUGUUGAUAUCAGUUCAUUUCCCCAUAGAUAUUGGAUAAAGUAUGCAAUCAGGCAGAAAAGCAGGAUCAUUAAGAAGUAAAAUAACUUGCAUGCUAAAUAAUUUAUCCACCUCAUAAAGGAGAUGCUUCAUCCUGUCACUUAUUAGUCGAUUUUCAUCUCUUAAUGCAACAGAAAUUGCAGGAUGCAGCCACUGGGCACUGUUGAGCCAUGCAUCUACACAUGGAUGCCCUGCAGCAACAUGACACCACCAUGUGGGCCCAGCUUGACGCUCCCAGUAAGGAGCAGCUAAAUCAGCAACUGUGAGGUCCUCUUCAUCAUCCAUCAAAUCAACUUGCUGUUCAGACCAUCCAGCAUCAAUUUGCACAGUUUGAACAAGUUCAGAAAUUCUAGCCCAUCCAAUUGGAAUCCAAUGACUACCUUCAAACCUUUCCACAGAAUGCAAACAGUCUGAUUGCAUGUUUGGUCUAUCUGCAUCACUAUCCAAAGCACCAUUCCCGGAAGCACCAAUCUCAUGAAGAGUUGCUGGAUCUUUGGAAUUUAUCAUGCUUUUUCUCUGAGCAGGAGGUUCAACCCCUCCAUGAGUAGGCAUGGGUGUAGUGACAUUCCCAGUGUCUACUUGAGGGAUUGACAAGAUCUUGGAAUAAGAUUUUGACCGUACUGAUCUCCUACGCCCCCGUACAAAUUCAAAAGCACAAAUAAGUCCAUCCGUCCAAAGCUCACUCCCUGGCAUGACAUCCUUAUUGUAGCGGGUUUUGUGGCCUUCUGGCCUCUUUGUUGAGCUGCCCAGGGAGGAAUGGUCUUCACUCAUUCCAUUCAUACUGUAUUCCAUAGAAAUCAGAUAUCGAGUUUAAGCGAGAAACUCCACAAAACUGCCAGCACUGGGAUGGUGAGGGAUCAGAAGAUGCAAAAGAGCCAUCACCCAGCCUAUAUGGAGACAAGCUCUAAAAUGUGGGCAAGUAAUUUAAAAACAGCCACAUAAAGGACACUUGUGAGAACGACUUAUAGUGAAACUUGGCAGGAUAAUGGCAUUUCACCAUAGCCUAUAGAAAAAGGUAAAAAACAAAAAAAAAAAUUAUGCAUUAACAGCCUUGAAAAUCAUCAAUGGAAUUUUAACUUCGUUUAUCAGUUUUCCAGGAGUUCACAAUAAAGAGCACAAACAACAGACAAAGUAAUGGGAUGCCCAGAGACAGGACCAUGAAGUAGGCAAUGAGUGCUGCUAACAUCUAGGUCGUUUUGUUUGUUUUGAUGUCGAAUAAUUGCCCAGCAUCGGAUUCAAUGCUGUACAUUCAAUCCUCUACAAAUUCAAGCAUUUUAUCUUUGUUUAUUAUCUGACUUUAAUGAAACAUACAGGAGAUCAAACUCUCAAGCUCCACGCUUAUCAUGGCUCAGUUGAGUCAACCAUAUCGACAGUUGCAAAACAUUCUCAAGGGUGCAAACUUAACAGGUAAUCACAAUCAAGCCCAGGGAAUAAAUGCUUUUUACAAGCUACCAAAUGAGAUGUAGCAUCCACAGAUAGAUAAUUCACUGGUUCUGUAAACCAAAAAAAAGCCAAGGACUUGAACCUAGUAAGCUAAUAUCAAUCCACUCAUUGCUAAUCAGAAGCAAGAGGUACUGCACGCCCAAAAUUUUCCCCUACAGGUAUCAUGCAUUGGGAUCAUCACUCUCCAAAGGCAUAAACCCUCUAAGAUAAUCCAAAAUUUGAAGAAAUACCUUUCAUCUCAGCUUGUGCAUGCAGUUCUCAUGAAAACAAAUCUCUAUGCUUGUACUCAAAGAAAACAAAAAGAAAAUUCCAGUUGAGACUUCCUCAGUGACAGAACGAAAUCCAAAUGCACCGAAUUAUCAUAUUUACUCUAAACUAGAGCGAAAAAUGAAACCCAAAGGACAUCUAUCACACAACUAAAAGCUACUCAACGUAAUUUUCUUACCAAAUCCUACUUUAUCAAAAAGUUGAUUUCUUGUUUUACCUUUUGUUUCGACCAUAUGCAACACCACCCCUAUCAGCUACAUUAACAAUGUCCAACUAGUAAACAUUCGACUCAACAAUUUUCUAUUAAUCAACCAUUGUCUCGUUAUCUAGGGCAAUCUCUAUUCAGUUACUUGUUGAGGUAAAUAUUUAUUUAAAUAAUAUACACUGUCUAGUAAUUUUCUUCUCUUUGUUGUUAUUUGGCCAUGAAACAGCACAGGUAAAGCCUCCACAACUCGAAGAAAGUUGCUCGGUUUGUCCAUCAUUCCCCCUCUUCAAAUUAUCCCCAAAUGUCUCCUUUUCUUCCCCAGGAUUUCUUUGCUUCAUGAAUUAGCUCUUUAAUUUUAUACCAGUAAACAGAUUCCACCCAAAAAAAAAAUUUAAAACCCACAUUUCUGUUUAUUCAAUCAUUCGAAUUUCGUUAACUUCAGCAGCUUUCAUUCAGUUUCCAUAGCUACAUAUCCUAUUGAAUGAUAAAAAGAAGGGGGCAAAAAAAAAAGAAUAACAAUAUAAAUUUAAAAACAAUCAUAUUGCUAUUUAUUUACUUCAUAAAACCUAAAAUAUCGUGAACAAACAGAACCCCAAAUUAAUCAAAACCUCAGAUCAAUCCCUUUCAAUGAAUUAGGCAGGAAAAAAAAACGACAGAAUAAACGACGCCGCACGCAGAUACACGCGGACAAGUGUGUGUCUGUGUGUGAUGUUACAUACAUAUUUGAAGGAAAUUUCCCAAGUUAACAAAAUUCCGUAGAAAAGGAAUUAAUUACCAGAGAAUUAGAGGCCUGAAGAUGGACGGAAGAGCAGAAAGGCAGUGAGCAUAAUUCUAGAAAAAGAUUGAAAGAGCCGAAACACACACACACACGUAUUGUUUAUGAGUGCGAGUCAAGAAUGCUUUCUCCCCGUUUUGCUUUUUGAAUAUAUUUUGUCAUUUUGUAAUUGUUGCUGGGUAAAAAGUGAGGUACAAGCAUGUAAAGGCCAAGUAAUGUGCACCUCUAUCAAUUUUAUUUUUGUCAAAUUAAUAAAUAAAUUUUUUUUUUAAAAAAAAGAAGUUUUAGUUUGGAAAUGAAUAUUUUCCAAUUUUAUUUUUUCAAAAAAAAAGGCUUUAUUUUGGAAAUAAAUCUUUUCCAUUUUAUUUCUAUCAUGGGAAUGUUUAAAUUAAAGUUCAAAUGGAUCAAUUGCUUUUAUGUAUUUUUAUACACAAAAGGAUUUCAAAAAAAAAAGAAAAGAAAAAAAUUGAAUGUGUAUGAGGUCGGCUUAUUUCUCAAAAUAAUCCCAGAAAUUAAAUUUGCUUAAAAAUGGGGGUAUUUGGAAUGUUUUUCUAAUAUUAACAUCGUCGAAACAUUCAAAUGCAGUGACCAUUUUAUUUUUGAUUUUUUUCAUGUGUCAACAUGGUAUUUGACACAAAUUUUUUUAAUACAAUGUGUCUAUCAAACUCAAUUUUUUUUAAAAAAAAUUUAAUAUAUCUGUCACUGCACAAGCUUAUGCAGCGAUAGAAAAAUUUAUUUAACAAAUGUUGUUAAACGCAUUUUAUAAAAAUAAUAAUUUAAGACAUAUUUUAAAAUUGUGUCUGUCGUCACACAAGAUUGUGUAGCGACAAAUCUUGGGCCUGUUUGAAACUUUGGUUUUUAGCCAAGUUUGUAUGAUACUAGUUUUUUAACAACUUUUGCUACAGAAACUCCAAAAACUUAUCAAAGUUUUUAACUUACACACUUUAAAAUAUCCAAAAUACAAAAAAAAAAAAAAAAAA
rnacentral:lncRNA from 1 species